UGGUAUCUUUUGAAGACAAUACAUUAUUUACAGCAGCUGUGGAGAUAGCCCUUGGUCCUCAAUUGCUUCUGUGAGUAGCUCUGUGCUGUUCAGCUUGUCAAGCCAUUGUGGAGAACUAGCUUCUUUACUCAGAGGGAGGUAACUGCAGCCUGAUGGCUAGAGAUCUUCACUAGACAGUGACCUGGAUUCAAAUCCCUAUUCCACAUUGGACAAAGAAAGGACUUGGGUCUCCCACAUUCCAGAAUGUGUGCGUGGGUUGAAUCUUUUUCCACAGAUACAAAUUCCAGCCAUGAAAGAGAAAAUCUAGCAUCGUCCCUGAGCAUACUGCAACUUUGACUUGAGCUGGAUUCUUCAAUGACUUUUUAAGUCAUUAAGCUCUCUCCAACUAAAUGUUCAAGCAGAACUAGACUGGAAACCUCAAAGCAACUGUUUCGGACUGAAUAGUAAAGGAUGGCAGUGACAUGCAAGGGGGACUGUGCUUAAGCAGCUCAUGUAGAUACAAGCAGUCUCAAGCCAUGGACAGAGAUGCUGUUUGAAGUGCUCCUAAGGGAACAGACAUGCACGCUUGAAAAAUGGCAUUCUUGAAAUGACUGUACACUCCAGUGGUCCUCUGGCAUCCUACAGUCCUGUUUCCCCCAAGGGAAGCAGUGAGAGGAAGCAGGGAAAUCAGCCAGUGAGCACAUGCCUGCACUCUGCUGUUGGUGGGACCUCUGGAGGCUGAGAAGUGUGCAGAGCUUCCCGGUCUCCACCCACUGCUGGAUUUGAAGUGCUUGACAUACAUGACUGUCCAAGGGUUGGCCACAGCAGCAUGCAGCUCAGUGCAAGCCAGGGUCUUGGGAAGGCUUUGUAACCUGCACUGAGCACACAUUGCCAUGACUACUCUAUCAUUAGUAUCUGAGCUUGCCAGUUGAGCUAGCUGUUCACGAGCUGCUGUCACGGGGAACUUUUUUUUUUGACCACAGUCUUUAACUGCAGUCCUGACAGACCCUUGAUUGGUCAUCUUACAGCCUGCAAAGCUCCAAAGUGAAAGUAAAAAGGGAUAUUGCUCUUAAAUAUCAACAGUUUCAGCAUGUGCUCAGUGUAGUAGCAUGACUGAAAAGGAGGCAACUGGGGCAGAAGC